CACAAAUAAGCCUUUCUGCAGGGGAAAUAAACGGUUUAACCUGCAGGGCCAUAGUCCAAAGGGAGCAGGCGAGCAACCAGGCUUCUCCAGUUCACAGUGGCGAGGUUGGUUUCACCACAACCCAGUACUCACAAGCAACCAAGCCCUGCAGAAUCUUCUAAGCAGAGAGCUGGCCCCCAAAAACAGCAUUGAAUAACUACACCCUGUACUCACAAG
rnacentral:lncRNA from 1 species